rnacentral:rRNA from 1 species
GACGUAGGGCGCGAGCGUUGUCCGGAUUUAUUGGGCGUAAAGAGCUCGUAGGCGGCUUGUCGCGUCGACUGUGAAAUCCCGCGGCUCAACUGCGGGUCUGCAGUCGAUACGGGCAGGCUAGAGUUCGGUAGGGGAGACUGGAAUUCCUGGUGUAGCGGUGAAAUGCGCAGAUAUCAGGAGGAACACCGGUGGCGAAGGCGGGUCUCUGGGCCGAUACUGACGCUGGAGGAGCGAAAGCCGUG